GGGUUUUGCAGGUUUCUCUUUUGAAAUCAGCUCCCCUGAAAUGUAUUAGCUGGUUGCGUUGUGUAGACCUGUCUAUUGGUGUGAUAAUUAUCUACGCCGUGGACUGUUUGCCAUUUUAGCACUGCUUCUAACUGUCUGUUCAUUCAGACGAUAUAUGACAAUUUGACCUCAAAUCAGGUAGGACUACCCGCUGAACUUAA
rnacentral:misc_RNA from 1 species